UGGGGAAUUUUGGACAAUGGGGGAAACCCUGAUCCAGCCAUCCCGCGUGUGCGAUGAAGGCCUUCGGGUUGUAAAGCACUUUUGGCAGGAAAGAAACGUCAUGGGUUAAUACCCCGUGAAACUGACGGUAACUGCAGAAUAAGCACCGGCUAACUACGUGCCAGCAGCCGCGGUAAUACGUAGGGUGCAAGCGUUAAUCGGAAUUACUGGGCGUAAAGCGUGCGCAGGCGGUUCGGAAAGAAAGAUGUGAAAUCCCUGAGCUCAACUUUGGAACUGCAUUUUUAGCUACCGGGCUAGAGUGUGUCAGAGGAAGGUGGAAUUCCGCGUGUAGCAGUGAAAUGCGUAGAUAUGCGGAGGAACACCGAUGGCGAAGGCAGCCUCCUGGGAUAACACUGACGCUCAUGCACGAAAGCGUGGGGAGCAAACAGG
rnacentral:rRNA from 1 species